AGAGUUUGAUCAUGGCUCAGAUUGAACGCUGGCGGCAGGCCUAACACAUGCAAGUCGAGCGGUAGCACAGAGAGCUUGCUCUCGGGUGACGAGCGGCGGACGGGUGAGUAAUGUCUGGGAAACUGCCUGAUGGAGGGGGAUAACUACUGGAAACGGUAGCUAAUACCGCAUAAUGUCGCAAGACCAAAGUGGGGGACCUUCGGGCCUCAUGCCAUCAGAUGUGCCCAGAUGGGAUUAGCUUGUAGGUGGGGUAACGGCUCACCUAGGCGACGAUCCCUAGCUGGUCUGAGAGGAUGACCAGCCACACUGGAACUGAGACACGGUCCAGACUCCUACGGGAGGCAGCAGUGGGGAAUAUUGCACAAUGGGCGCAAGCCUGAUGCAGCCAUGCCGCGUGUGUGAAGAAGGCCUUCGGGUUGUAAAGCACUUUCAGCGGGGAGGAAGGCGUUGAGGUUAAUAACCUUGUCGAUUGACGUUACCCGCAGAAGAAGCACCGGCUAACUCCGUGCCAGCAGCCGCGGUAAUACGGAGGGUGCAAGCGUUAAUCGGAAUUACUGGGCGUAAAGCGCACGCAGGCGGUCUGUCAAGUCGGAUGUGAAAUCCCCGGGCUCAACCUGGGAACUGCAUUCGAAACUGGCAGGCUAGAGUCUUGUAGAGGGGGGUAGAAUUCCAGGUGUAGCGGUGAAAUGCGUAGAGAUCUGGAGGAAUACCGGUGGCGAAGGCGGCCCCCUGGACAAAGACUGACGCUCAGGUGCGAAAGCGUGGGGAGCAAACAGGAUUAGAUACCCUGGUAGUCCACGCCGUAAACGAUGUCGAUUUGGAGGUUGUGCCCUUGAGGCGUGGCUUCCGGAGCUAACGCGUUAAAUCGACCGCCUGGGGAGUACGGCCGCAAGGUUAAAACUCAAAUGAAUUGACGGGGGCCCGCACAAGCGGUGGAGCAUGUGGUUUAAUUCGAUGCAACGCGAAGAACCUUACCUGGUCUUGACAUCCACAGAACUUUGCAGAGAUGGUUUGGUGCCUUCGGGAACUGUGAGACAGGUGCUGCAUGGCUGUCGUCAGCUCGUGUUGUGAAAUGUUGGGUUAAGUCCCGCAACGAGCGCAACCCUUAUCCUUUGUUGCCAGCGGUCCGGCCGGGAACUCAAAGGAGACUGCCAGUGAUAAACUGGAGGAAGGUGGGGAUGACGUCAAGUCAUCAUGGCCCUUACGACCAGGGCUACACACGUGCUACAAUGGCAUAUACAAAGAGAAGCGACCUCGCGAGAGCAAGCGGACCUCAUAAAGUAUGUCGUAGUCCGGAUUGGAGUCUGCAACUCGACUCCAUGAAGUCGGAAUCGCUAGUAAUCGUAGAUCAGAAUGCUACGGUGAAUACGUUCCCGGGCCUUGUACACACCGCCCGUCACACCAUGGGAGUGGGUUGCAAAAGAAGUAGGUAGCUUAACCUUCGGGAGGGCGCUUACCACUUUGUGAUUCAUGACUGGGGUGAAGUCGUAACAAGGUAACCGUAGGGGAACCUGCGGUUGGAUCACCU
rnacentral:rRNA from 2 species